AAUUAUUCCAUGCAUCCGAUAUAUAUACAUUCUUGUUAAUAAUGAUGUGCGCUUGAGCUUUUAUGGUCUAGUCCAAAAUGUUAAGGCUGGAUCAGGAAAAUAAAGCCGAAGCCCGCUUCCGCUUUAGACAUAAACGACGUAGUAUUGUUGACGAAUGGAGCAACGACAGGUCGUUUUGCUUCAGUAAAAAGCAACGACAAGUAGAUUGAUAUGAAUGCUGGGAUUGACAGAACGAAGAAAAUCAGCGGCAGCGAAUGGCGGACUUUGCUAUGAAUCUAAACACAGGCACACACACACACACACACACAGAAUCUUAUAGAACCCUACUGAGAAGGGAAAAAUGGGGGCGAUUUAUCUGUACAGGGGGAAGCUCCACAGAGUCCCUGACAUACCUUGUCGAUGGCUAAUGCCAACCCGUAAAAUCUCUCUCAAAGACUUCAAAUCCCUCUUACACCGCCGCUCUCAGGCCUUCACUCACCUCCGCUCCUCCACCAACGCCGUCGCCAUCACUUCAAAUCAUAACCCGAACGCUGAUAAAAAGGACACCGUGAGUCCAAUUGAACUUAAGUUGGAAGCUGGCGACGCGACUAAUCGUGAAGAGGAGGAGGGGACUUCCAGAAGUUCAGCUUCUAAGGAGGUCAAGGAUCAGAAAGGAUGAGAUUGUGGUGAAUGCUCGGGUAAACCAGAGGGCUUGUCGGAUUUUUCGCUUCCUGAGAAAGGCGAUGAUGAGGCGGUUAAUGCCGAUGGGAAUUUUCAGCCUGAAAAGAUUGAUUUGUCAGCGAAUCAUAAAACGGAGACGUGCAAAGUUGAUGUUGUAAAUGAUAAGGAUAAAAGGAAAAAGGAAGUUGAGGAUAAGUUACUGGUUUUGAACUCGAAGAAGCAUAAUCUUGUACAAGUGCUGAAGCAGAUGAGCUCUUAUCUUACCCUCAUCUUGUGUGGAACAAGAGAUUUUUUUAUCAUGCAUAAUACUCCUCGGAUGGGCUCAGAGGGAAAUCCUGGUGGUGAUAUGGAAAAGGGAGAAACUGAAGAUGUUUCAAAUCCUAGGCUAGGAAUAAGCAGCAGAAAAGGAUCAUCAAUUUUAUUUGCCAAGAAGUUGCUGUGGUUUAGGGACCACUACAUUGCAUCUUCUCCUUCCCCUGCAGCAACUGGUGGCACGUCAGCAUUUGGAGAUGCUCAGCAGCUAAGUCCAUGGAAUUAGAAGCUAUGAACUAACAUGAUUUGAUAUUUUGGCUCUGUUUCUGCAACUUCAGUCUUGUUGAUCAGGCAUACUGAGCUUACAUAGGUGUAUCCUCCUUUGCUCAGUGUUUUUACCCAUGCCAAUUGAAUGUUGGCACCUUUUAAAAUGUUCCAUUUAUGGGUCUUUCCAUUGUUUGGAAGGUCUCAAGUUGAAGAUGACCAGAAUCCAAGCAGUACCAGAAAUUAUUUUUUUUUUAAAUCAUUGUAAAUGUAGCUUUGUCCAUUCAUUGCUAGUUAUGUGUUGUUCUUUGCAAUAUCUUAAAUUGAAAACGUUGAAUAUCCUCACAAAUUUAAGCUGUAGAAUUGUUGAAAAAAACGGAAUCACAGGGACUGAAUCAAGCAUUGUAGCGUUGAGAUUGUAUGUAGUUAAAAGACAUCUGAAGAAUACGAUUAUUUUGUUGGAGAUAA